rnacentral:misc_RNA from 1 species
GAUGAAGAACGUAGCAAAAUGCGAUAAGUAGUGUGAAUUGCAGAAUUCAGUGAAUCAUCGAAUCUUUGAACGCACAUUGCGCCCUUUGGUAUUCCGAAGGGCAUGCCUGUUCGAGCGUCAUUAUCAACCCUCAAGCCCGGCUUGCCGUUGGGUCCCGUAGGGGUGCGAAUCUCAACGGACCUCAAAGAUAGUGGCAGAGCCCGUACGGACCCUGGAUGCAGCGAGCUUUCUGGCACGCAUCACAGCAAUCCGCCGGCUCGGUCUUAACCGUCAAUUUUUUUUCACUGGUUGACCUCGGAUCAGGUAGGGAUACCCGCUGAACUUAAGCAUAUCAAUAAGCGGAGGA